AUCGCUUCUCGGCCUUUUGGCUAAGAUCAAGUGUAGUAUCUGUUCUUAUCAGUUUAACACCCUUCAGUAAUUGCUCUCAAUGUGACUGGUCCCACUCAAAAGACACAGAUU
rnacentral:snRNA from 1 species